rnacentral:tRNA from 2 species
GGAGGGGUGGGUGAGCGGUCGAAGCCACCUGUCUGGAGAACAGGUGUACCCGUCAGGGUACCGCGGGUUCAAAUCCCGCCCCCUCCGCCA